rnacentral:rRNA from 1 species
GAUUCCCCUAGUAACUGCGAGUGAAGCGGGAAAAGCUCAAAUUUAAAAUCUGACGGUCUUUUGGUCGUCCGAGUUGUAAUCUAGAGAAGUGUUAUCCGCGUUGGACCGUGUACAAGUCUCCUGGAAUGGAGCGUCAUAGAGGGUGAGAAUCCCGUCUUUGACACGGACUACCAGUGCUUUGUGAUGCGCUCUCAAAGAGUCGAGUUGUUUGGGAAUGCAGCUCAAAAUGGGUGGUAAAUUCCAUCUAAAGCUAAAUAUUGGCGAGAGACCGAUAGCGAACAAGUACCGUGAGGGAAAGAUGAAAAGAACUUUGGAAAGAGAGUUAAACAGUACGUGAAAUUGCUGAAAGGGAAACGCUUGAAGUCAGUCGCGUUGUCCGGGAAUCAACCUUGCUUUUGCUGGGUGUACUUUCCGGUUGACGGGUCAGCAUCAAUUUUGACCGUUGGAUAAAGUGUAGGGGAAUGUGGCAUCUUUGGAUGUGUUAUAGCCCUUGCUCGCAUACAACGGUUGGGAUUGAGGAACUCAGUACGCCGCAAGGCCGGGAAUUUAUUCUACGUUCGUACUUAGGAUGCUGGCAUAAUGGCUUUAAUCGACCCGUCUUGAAACACGGACCAAGGAGUCUAACAUGCCUGCGAGUGUUUGGGUGGAAAACCCGAGCGCGUAAUGAAAGUGAAAGUUGAGAUCCCUGUCGUGGGGAGCAUCGACGCCCGGACCAGACCUUUUGUGACGGAUCUGCGGUAGAGCAUGUAUGUUGGGACCCGAAAGAUGGUGAACUAUGCCUGAAUAGGGUGAAGCCAGAGGAAACUCUGGUGGAGGCUCGUAGCGAUUCUGACGUGCAAAUCGAUCGUCAAAUUGGG